CAGUAAAUAGUUUAAUUAAAAAUUUAGGUUUUGGGAAUUUAAGAUGCUUUUUAGUUUUACUGA
rnacentral:tRNA from 1 species